rnacentral:rRNA from 1 species
AUGAAAGUUGUAGCCUGGAACUGCCGGGGGCUUGGGAACCCACCGGCAGUUCGUAGCCUUCUGGAACUCCAGAGGGUUGAAGAGCCCGACAUUCUUUUCCUUCCAGAAACAAAAUUGAAGGAGAUUGAUUGCUUGAGAUGGCGUUUGAACUUGGCGAACAUGGUUGCGGUGGAUUGUGUUGGGCGGAGUGGGGGUUUGGCGAUGUUCCGGAGG